ensembl:lncRNA
GAGGAGGAAGAGGCGGAGGAGGAUGGAGAGGAGGAAGAGGAGGAAGAGGAGGAGGAGGAUGCAGAGGAGGAGGGUGCAGAAGAGGAGGAGAUGGAAACACCUGAAGAUGCAGAAGAGGAAGGUGCAGAAGAGGAGGAGGCGGAGGAGGAGGGUAGAGAGGAGGAAGAGGAGGAGGAGGAAGGUGUUUCAGAGGGAGAAGAGGAGAUAGAAGUGGCUGAGGAUGCAGAGGAAGGAGAUGCAGAGGAGGAGCCAUAUGCAGCAGAUGAAGAAGAGGAUGCAGAGGAAGAGGGGGCAGGUGAAGAGGAGCUUUCUGCAGAGGAGGAAGGAGAGGAGAAGGAGGCAGAGGAGGAGGUUGCUGAUUCUGAUGAAGAAGAUGAUGCAGAAGAUGAACCAGCUGCUGCGGAGGAAGAGGAGGAGGGUGUAAAGGAAGAGGAGGAAGAAGAGGAAAAGGAACCAGCUGAGGUAGAGGUGCAGGAGGGAGCUGAUGAUGCAGAGGAUGAUGCAGAGGAGGAGGCUGUGUUUUCUGAAGAGGCAGCAGAGGAUGCAGAGGAGGCUCCAGAAGAUGCAGAGGAGGAAGAGGAUGAUGAUGAAGAAGCUGCAGUAGAAGCACAGGAUGACCAGGAGGAAGGGGUGGAAGAAGAGGAGGCUCUGGCUGAGAGUGAUGUAGAGGAGGGAGAAGAAGAGGCAGAAACGGAGGAGGACACAGAGGAGGAGGAUGGCGUAGAGGAGGACACAGAGGAGGAGGAGGGCACAGAGGAGGACGCAGAGGAGACUCCUGAACCUGUGUCCAGCGAUGAAGAGGAGGACAGUGAUGCAGAGGGGGAGGAAAGCAGUGAGGAGGAGGUACUGUCCGACUCCUCCUCUGUCCUCAGCCAAUCGGAGCUGCUUUCCUCUGACGCAGAGGAGGAGGGUGCAGAGGAGGAAAGUGAUGCAGAAGAGCUCGCUGACUCUGAUGAAGAGGAGGAGGAAGCACCCAGAACGGAGGAAAAGACAGAAGAAGACGAUGAUGCAGAGGAGGAGGAAGAGGAGGAGGAUGAUGCAGAGGAGGAGGAUGAUGCAGAGGGGGAGGAUGAUGGAGAGGAGGAGGACAGUGCAGAGGAGGAGCUUAAGAUCACAGAGACAGACGAAGACCAAGAGGAAGAUGGUCUCAAAAUUGUUGCCAAAACAGAAGAUUUGGAUCUGUCUGAAGAAGAUGAAGAAGAGGAGGAGGGAGCAGAGGAGGAGGGAGUGUUGCUAGACCAUGCAGAGGAGGAUGCAGAGGAUGAGGAUGCAGAGGAUGAGGAUGCAGAGGAGGACACAGAGGAAGAGGAUGCAGAGGAGGAGCUGCCUCCUGUGGUUGAGGAGGAAGAGGAAGAGGAGGAUCUGAAAAUGGCAGCUGAGGAGGAGUCAGCUGAAGACGAUGAUGCAGAGGAGGACCUCGAAGCAGAGGAGGACCACGAUGCAGAGGAGGACCUCGAAGCAGAGGAGGACCACGAUGCAAAGGAGGACCUCGAAGCAGAGGAGGACCACGAUGCAGAGGAGGACGACGAUGAUUCAGAGGAGUCUGUAGCCUCCACUGAGCUCUUCGCAGAUGAUGAAGACGAUAGUGAAGAAGACGAGAGCGAAGAGGAGGCAGUUGUCGACCACUUUAAACCUGAAGUAGAGGAGGAAGAUGCAGAGGAUGAAGAGGAAGAUUCAGAGGAGGCUGCAGAGGAGGAGGAAGACUUGGUCUCAGCAGAGUCCACAGACAGUGGAGUUUUAGGAGACGAUGAAGAUGAGACAGAAGAGGAAGAGUCUGAUGCAGAGGAGGAUGCAGAGGAGGAAGACGACACAGAAGAGGGGGAAGAGAGCACAGAGGAGGAAGGUGCAGAGGAGGACAGCAGCUCAGUGGAAGUGGAUUUGGAUGAGACAGACACUGAUGCAGAGGAUGAAGAGCUGACAUCCGAGUCUGUGGAGAGCACCAGCCCUGAUGCAGAGGAGGAGACAGAUGAUGCAGAGGAGGCCACAGAGGAGGAGGAGGAGCAGAAGGGGGAGGAUGCAGAGGAGGAGGGAGAUGCAGAGGAUUUGGGACUGGCAGGUUCAGCUGCAGUAGCUCUGAGUGUCCAGGAGGAGGCGCCACAGGAGGAGGAGAAGGAGGAGACAGAAGCGACAGCUGAUGAUGACGAGGACGAAAUGAAAGAGGACGAUGAUGACGACGAUGAUGAAGAAGAUGAAGAUGAUGAAGAGGAGGCGGAGUCUGGAGCUCAGGAGACCUCCGAGGAGCCUGAGGCCGCAGGGGGGGCUGUGGAGCCAGAGCCAUCCUGUUCAUGUGCCCCAGCUGCAGCAGAAGAAGAAAGACCCGAGACUAAACCAGAAACCAUGCGCAGAGUGUCAGCUGUGCGCUCCAAGAGGAAAGAAAGAGACGUGGCUAAGACGAGCAGCAAACCCAAACACUCAGCAGGUCUGCCCCGGAUUCCAGCACUGGAGCCAGGCAUCAGAACACGGAGGAUCCCGGCAUUUGUCAAAGCAGUGCGGAGAGCCAAGGCUAAAGCCGCAAAAGCUAAAGAGGCGGAGCCAAAGGAGGAGACCACACCCCCACAGGACGGUGCCCCCUGCAGGCCGGCCCCCGUGUAUUGCCCCGCCCCCCCGGGCUGGUACGUUCAUCACGUCGUCACUGACAACCCCUACCCCCCUCCCACCCUCUCAGCUCCCUCGGCUCCCAUCCUCACGGCACACCCCUUCCCCCCUCUCUACCCCCCACCCCUCUACCAGCCCUAUGCUCCAGCGCCCAAUGCGCCCCCCGCAGGACAGACUGAAGAACAGCCUUUGACUGCACCCCCGUCAGGAGAGCAGGCUCCUCUACAUCCUCCUGCUCCAGUCACAGCACAGACAGCUACAGGAGAACAGGCUGCUCCUGCACCUCCAGCGCGUGCGCCCCCUACAGGAGAAGCAGGAGAGGCCGAGGGACAGACAGUGCUCCCUACAGAAGAGGCUCAGGCAGGGGAACCUGAAGAGGAGCCUGCAGACCAAACUCUGGUCCAAGACGAUAAAGAAGAGGAAAAAGAGGAAGAGGAGACUCCCAAACCCAAAGAUUCUGCAGCUGAGAAACAGAAGAAAAAGAAGAGAUCUGCAGCGGAGAAAGGUUUAAAAUUGAUGAGUAAAUCUAGAGGAGCUGCCAGAAGACCUCUGGAGCCAAUCAGACUGAGACCCCGAGACAGUGAGAGGAGGAGCAACAGCACGGAGCGCCGCCGAGCUAAAGAUGAAAUGAAGUCUGUGAAACGUGACACAGAUAAAGAGGAGAAGCGGCCUCCUCCUGUUGGAACAAAGAGUGAUGCCACAGAGAAGAAGAAAACAGGUCAGAAAUAUUUUCAGUGCGUUUACGUUCCUGGAAAAAGUGGGAACUUCUCUCCACGACCGUUCACCCCGGCCAUGCCCGUGAUGAUGUCACCGGCAUUCAGGGCAGCCAUGGAGCAGCAGCGGGAAAGGGCAUCCAGGAGACGAUAGGAAACUACAACAAGAGACAAUCUACGACAAGAGACAAUCUACGACAAGAGACAAUCUACGACAAGAGACAAUCUACGACAAGAGACAAUCUACGACAAGAGACAAUCUACAACAAGAGACAAUCUACAACAAGAGACAAUCUACGACAGCAGCAGACAGAGAGGAGCAGACAGAGGAGCGACAGGAGCAGACAGAGCGGCGCACACACCAUCUGUCUGCACAGAGAUCCUCAAUGAAACGUUAGAGGUCAAAGGUCAGACUGAGCAGCAGGAGCAUCUGAACCAGAGACAAUCUGUGAGUCUUACUCUGAGUUCAGAGUGCCACCUGCUGAUGGUGAAGAGUAUUACAUAUGUUUAUAUUUGUUUAUUUCAUUGUGCAAUAAGGAGGCGGGGCCUAUUUAUGUCUACAGACUGUGAUUGGUCAGAGGGAAGGGGCCCUGUGCUCUGAUUGGUCAGAGGGUGAGUGAAUGUUUUAUUCUGAAUCCUUCUUUAGGAGGAACUGACUGAACUUGAACAUGUACAUUAUGUACUGUAGUUUGAGGAAGUAGGCACAGUACUGUCCCUGUAGUACUUUCCCUGUACUACAGUAAUUGUACUUGUGCUGCUCCUGUAACCAAACCAAUGCUUCGGUUCAUUUGCUGAACUUAUGUUUAAAGCUCCUGUAUUUCACAGAAUGGACUCUGUGAGCUUUAAGCCAUGUCAUGAUGUUGUUCCCUCCUCAAGAAUGUACUGGAGUUAUGUUUUGUUUCAUUCACACACAUUUGAAUUACCCUUUAUUAUUAGUCUGUCUACAUCUCCAAUGCUCUGUUCCACCUUGUGAUGUCAUGAAGUGUUUAUUUCAAAGUUAACAGCUCCUUUUACCUUUAGUUCAGUAGAAAUUGGCAAUUCCAGGGCUGAAAUUAUCCAAAUGAUUCUAAUGAAUGUGUAUGGAGUUUAAAAACACAGUGGAGCACUUCCUGUUUUCCCACAUGAUAUCACAAGUUGGAACAGUGUUUUCUUCUUUGAGAGAAGAACCUUGUGAUGAGGAAACAUCAUUAUAACAGAGAUCAGAAAACAGUGUAAUAUGGGCCUUUAAAUGUUACUGAAUAGACCUGCUCUGGGUGUGAGGGACACAUGACUCUUCUGUGUUUUUGUCUGAGAUAAACACUGUAAAAAGGUCACUUUCUUAUGUCCCUGACAUGUUUGGGCUGUAGUACCCCACCUUGGUCAGAGGUGUCACUGUUGCGUCUCUGAUCAUACAGGGGUCACAGAACAGACAGAAAGAGCUCUAUUAAAGCACAACGUCAACACAAUAAUAAAACCACACCAAACUCAGACCACUCCUGGUAUAGCCCAAAGACAAGUCCAACCAGACAACAAGUGAAAAGCCAUCCAAGAGAUAUAAACAGAAACAAAACAUUUAACAAGGAACAGAAAGAAAAAGACAACAACAUGGCAAACCAGAUCUGAGACAGAAAAUGACUGAUCCUAGGAUCAUGCGAUAGGGCCAAAACAGCAGGAAGAGAGGAUCACAAAUAAGAAAGGCAGACACAAGGGGAGUUUACCUUGGCUCGGACAUGAGACUCCAGACACAUCACACGGUGCAGUGGUCACUCUGAUAAAUCUCUCAAACUGAGCGCGCAUAGACAACAGCAGAACAGACACAGCAGUGACAGCUCUAACUAAGGUAAAGUACUACAGCCCAAACAUGUUAGGGACAUAAGAAACUCAGAUUUUUAUUAUUUAAAUCUGAAAUCACUUUUUAAGUUUGUAAAAAUCACUUCAGUUUGAGAUUUUAGAGAGUUCUUUGUAAAUGUUUUUUUUUUUUUUUUUUUUUGUGUAAAAUGUGUCAUAUUUCUGCAUGUACAAACCACCGACUGUGCUCUUGUAUAGUCUGUUUACAGACUGCCAGAUUGUACCACACUCUACAGUCAGACUAUCGUCUGUAUACAGACUGUAUCACACACUACACACACUACAGUCAGGCUAUAGUCUGUAUACAAACUGUAACAGACUGUACCACACCCUACAGUCAGACUGUGUACAGAGGAUGUACAGUCUACACACUAGUCAGACCGUAUGCAGACUGUAUAGUCUGUGGUACAGUACACUCUGUGGUUCAGUCGGUCAUACAGUACAGUCUGUGGUACAUUAUAUGGUAGUCUGUGGUACAGUCACUUGUUUGUUUUGCCGUGAAAAAGUUUGGAAUCAAAGUGAACGUUUCAAUCACAAAAUAAAAUCUGAC